AUCAGAGGCCCUGGCAAGGGUCUUCGAGGUGCGCUCCUCCCACCGUGGAGGCACCUCGUGUCCAUACGGCCCACAAGGCGGUUCGACGGGAUUGCGACUGCAACGAAGAAGUUGUCCCGAGGGACGGAAGCGCAUCACCGCAGUUCUGGCAAUCGCGUCGCACCGCAGCAAGGCAACCACGAGCCGACCUGCA
rnacentral:ncRNA from 1 species